rnacentral:snRNA from 1 species
GUACUCGCUUCGAUGGUAUACAUACUAAAAUUGAAACAAUACAAAGAAAAUCAGUAUGGCUCCUACGUAUAGAUAGCACGCAGAAUUGCGAAGCAUCCCACAUUUCU